UACAGAGGGUGCGAGCGUUAAUCGGAAUUACUGGGCGUAAAGCGCGCGUAGGCGGCCUGCUAAGUCGGACGGGAAAUCCCCAGGCUCAACCUGGGAACUGCGUCUGAUACUGGAUGGCUUGAAUCCGGGAGAGGGAUGCAGAAUUCCAGGUGUAGCGGUGAAAUGCGUAGAUAUCUGGAGGAAUACCGGUGGCGAAGGCGGCAUCCUGGACCGGCAUUGACGCUGAGGAGCGAAAGCCAGGGGAGCAAACGGG
rnacentral:rRNA from 1 species